rnacentral:lncRNA from 13 species
AUGCCUUUAGGGGCGGCCCCGCGGCGCGCCCUGGGGCCGAACGGCAUUGCCUGCCCUUCACUGACCCAGGAUUCUGCAGGCUCUCGAGUGAGGAGCCGAGGAAGGAGCGGGGGCUCCAGGCAGAGGCGGCGCCGCUCCCGCCAGCGCGGGUCCCCGGGCGGCCAGCGGGAGGCGAGGCCGGGCCGCCCCGCGCCGGUGGCCGAGGGCAGCGAGGUCAGCCCGGGAAGAAGCGGCCGCCCGGGGUCUCCGCGGGAGGAGAGAGCCCGCUCGGCUACGGGGCCGCGGCGCCCAUUCAUCCCCACGCCGGUCCCGCGGCCGCCACGCCACGGCCCGCCGCGGCCCCCGGCCUCCCGGUGCGGGUCCGCCCGUCGCCCCGUCGCCCCGCCGCCCCGCCGCCGCCCCCGAGGACGGGAAGGACGAGGCGGAGGGGCGGCCGCUGCCGUCUCCCGGGCGCGCGGCGAGGAGCGAAGGGCGGCCGGGGGGACAAGCACCGGGCGCGGGACGGACGCCCCGGGCGGCCAUCGCGCCGACCCCCGCGCCGACCCCCGCCCCCGCCGUCGCCCGCGAUCCAGGCCGCCGCCGUGCAGCCCGCUCCUCACCUCAUCUCCGGGCGGGUCCGCGCUACCGCCCCAGGGACAAAUCAGUGCCGCUCACGCGCCGCGGGGAGGGACGCAGGAGCCGCAGCCCCGCAAAUCAUCCCCGCCCGCCUCUCCGUCCGUCCCGGAGCCCGCUCGGGGUUCUUCCUCGCGAGCCGCCGUACUACGGAGCAACCAAGCUGCUCUCCCUCCCCCGGCGCCUCCACUCCUCUCUACCUCCUUCUCUCCCUCCCUCGCUCCCUUGCUCCCGCCUAUCUCCUCAUCUCCCUCCGCUGCCUCCUCCGCCCCCAUCCACCCCCCCGUCUCCGCCCACAAGUGGGUGGAAAAACCUCCUGCCAAUCGGAAGAAGAGGCUCGCACCUUCUCACCGCCCCCUACCGCUGGCCCCGCCCACCGAGCAAACCCAAGGAGGGAGAGCCAAAGAACUGUAA